rnacentral:tRNA from 1 species
GCCAAUAGGGCUGCUUUAGCAGGCUACUUUGAUAUAGUAGAUUGUGAAUAUUAAUUUCGUUGGUA